rfam:Anoxybacillus amylolyticus strain DSM 15939, complete genome.
UUGAUCUACUAGGGGAGUCCAAUAGCUUGGACUGAGAGAAGAACGCGCGAAAGUUCUUUGACCCUUUGAACCUGAUCUGGGUUAUACCAGCGUAGGGAAGUAGAUAGUGAGAGUA